UACGUAGGGUGCAAGCGUUGUCCGGAAUUAUUGGGCGUAAAGAGCUCGUAGGCGGUCUGUCGCGUCGGCUGUGAAAACCCGGGGCUCAACCCCGGGCCUGCAGUCGAUACGGGCAGACUAGAGUGCGGUAGGGGAGACUGGAAUUCCUGGUGUAGCGGUGAAAUGCGCAGAUAUUAGGAAGAACACCGGUGGCGAAGGCGGCUCUCUGGAACGGUACUGACGCUGAGACGCGAAAGCGUGGGGAGCGAACAGG
rnacentral:rRNA from 1 species